UCAAGUGACUAAGUGCAUGUGGCGGAUGCCUUGGCGAUCACAGGCGAAGAAAGACGCGGCAGCCUGCGAAAAGCUGCGGGGAGCUGGCAAACGAGCUUUGAUCCGCAGAUAUCUGAAUGGGGGAACCCACACCGCAAGGUGUAUCCGUAGCUGAAUACAUAGGUUACGGAGGCGAACGAGGAGAACUGAAACAUCUAAGUAUCCUCAGGAAAAGAAAUCAACCGAGAUUCCGGCAGUAGCGGCGAGCGAACCCGGAGGAGCCCAGCUUUUGAUAGUACGAACUUUAGCCGAAAGGUCCUGGAAAGGCCUGCUAUAGUGGGUGAUAGCCCCGUAGGCGAAAGAGUUGGUACGGUACUAAGGAAGCGAGAAGUAGAGCGGGACACGUGGAAUCCUGUUCGAAGACGGGGGGACCAUCCUCCAAGGCUAAAUACUCGUGAUCGACCGAUAGUGAACCAGUACCGUGAGGGAAAGGUGAAAAGAACCCCGGGAGGGGAGUGAAAUAGAACCUGAAACCGCAUGCAUACAAACAGUAGGAGCCUCGUCAGAGGUGACUGCGUACCUUUUGCAUAAUGGGUCAGCGACUUACAUUCUGUGGCGAGCUUAACCGAAUAGGGGAGGCGCAGCGAAAGCGAGUUCGAAAUGAGCGUUCAGUCGCAGGGUGUAGACCCGAAACCAGAUGAGCUAUCCAUGGCCAGGUUGAAGGUGUGGUAACACACACUGGAGGACCGAACCGACUAGUGUUGCAAAAUUAGCGGAUGAGCUGUGGAUAGGGGUGAAAGGCCAAACAAAUCUGGAGAUAGCUGGUUCUCCCCGAAAACUAUUGAGGUAGUGCCUCGUGUGUCGCUCCAGGGGGUAGAGCACUGUUUUGGCUAGGGGGGCAUGGAGUCUUACCAAACCAAGGCAAACUCCGAAUACCUGGAAGCGUAAGCACGGGAGACAGAGCACCGGGUGCUAACGUCCGGACUCAAAAGGGAAACAACCCAGACCGCCGGCUAAGGUCCCAAAUAACAGCUAAGUGGAAAACGAAGUGGAAAGGCCGUGACAACCAGGAAGUUGGCUUAGAAGCAGCCAUCCUUCAAAGAAAGCGUAAUAGCUCACUGGUCGAGUCCUUCUGCGCGGAAGAUGUAACGGGGCUAAGCUGUUAACCGAAGCCGCGGAUGCACUGGUUAUCCAGUGCGUGGUAGGGGAGCGUUCUGUAAGUCUGCGAAGGCGGUUCGAGAGGACUGCUGGAGAUAUCAGAAGUGCGAAUGCUGACAUGAGUAACGUUAAAGCAGGUGAAAAGCCUGCUCGCCGUAAGCCCAAGGAUUCCUGCUCUACGUUCAUCGGAGCAGGGUGAGUCGGCUCCUAAGGUCAGGCCGAAAGGCGUAGCCGAUGGGAAUCAGGUUAAUAUUCCUGAACCUGCGUCAGAUGCGAUGGGGGGACGGAGCAUGGAAGAUCAUCCGGGUGUUGGAAGUCCCGGUUGUUGAGCGUAGGAGGUCUGCAGGCAAAUCCGCAGACGCAUCUCCAAGGCAAAGACACGUGCCGCCACGGCGGCGAAGUGAUCGGAAGUGCUUCCAAGAAAAGCCUCUAAGCCCCAGUCUGACGCGGACCGUACCGCAAACCGACACUGGUGGGCGAGCUGAAUAUGCUCAGGCGCUUGAGAGAACUCGGGAGAAGGAACUCGGCAAAUUGACACCGUAACUUCGGAAGAAGGUGUGCCGUAGUACCGUGAGAGGAGAGACACCUUGAGCGGGAAACGGUCUCAGAGAAUAGGUGGCUGCGACUGUUUAUUAAAAACACAGCACUCUGCAAAGUCGAAAGACGACGUAUAGGGUGUGAUGCCUGCCCGGUGCUGGAAGAUUAAUUGAUGGGGUGAGAGCCCUUGAUCGAAGUCCCAGUAAACGGCGGCCGUAACUAUAACGGUCCUAAGGUAGCGAAAUUCCUUGUC
rnacentral:rRNA from 1 species